GACGAACGCUGGCGGCGUGCUUAACACAUGCAAGUCGAACGCUGAACCGGUUUCGGCCGGGGAUGAGUGGCGAACGGGUGAGUAACACGUGGGUAAUCUGCCCUGCACUUCGGGACAAGCCCUGGAAACGGGGUCUAAUACCGGAUAUGACUGCUCCAGGCAUCUGGGGUGGUGGAAAGCUCCGGCGGUGCAGGAUGAGCCCGCGGCCUAUCAGCUUGUUGGUGAGGUAGUGGCUCACCAAGGCGACGACGGGUAGCCGGCCUGAGAGGGCGACCGGCCACACUGGGACUGAGACACGGCCCAGACUCCUACGGGAGGCAGCAGUGGGGAAUAUUGCACAAUGGGCGCAAGCCUGAUGCAGCGACGCCGCGUGAGGGAUGACGGCCUUCGGGUUGUAAACCUCUUUCAGCAGGGAAGAAGCGAAAGUGACGGUACCUGCAGAAGAAGCGCCGGCUAACUACGUGCCAGCAGCCGCCGUAACAC
rnacentral:rRNA from 1 species